GCGCUCGUGGCGGAAUUGGUAGACGCGCUAGAUUCAGGUUCUAGUGGGGGUUCCCCGUGAAGGUUCGAGUCCUUUCGGGCGCACCA
rnacentral:tRNA from 1 species